rnacentral:rRNA from 1 species
UUUGCUUUAAAUAAAAGGUCCAGCCUGCCCAGUGACACUGUUCAACGGCCGCGGUAUCCUAACCGUGCGAAGGUAGCGUAAUCACUUGUUCUUUAAAUGAGGACUAGUAUGAAAGGCACCACGAGAGUCAUACUGUCUCCUCUUUCCAAUCAGUUAAACUAAUCUCCCCGUGAAGAAGCGGGAAUAACUAUAUAAGACGAGAAGACCCUAUGGAGCUUUAAACGAAUAACACUUGCCCACAUUCCUUUUAAUUUCAGAAAAAUCUUCUACCUUGGCAUCAUACUUAUAAGUUUUUGAUUGGGGUGAUCACGGAGCAAAAAAUAACCUCCGCAAUGAAAGACUCUCCAUGACUAAAUCAAGAACCACAACUCUACAUAUCAACAAAUUGACACCAAUUGACCCAAUUUAUUGAUCAAUGAAC